rnacentral:rRNA from 1 species
UACGUAGGGGGCAAGCGUUGUCCGGAAUUAUUGGGCGUAAAGAGCGCGUAGGCGGUCCGGUAAGUCGGCUGUGAAAGUCAAGGGCUCAACCCUUGAAAGCCGGCCGAUACUGUCGGACUAGAGUCCGGAAGAGGCGAGUGGAAUUCCCGGUGUAGCGGUGAAAUGCGCAGAUAUCGGGAGGAACACCAAUGGCGAAGGCAGCUCGCUGGGACGGUACUGACGCUGACGGCGCGAAGGCUAGG